UAAAUGUGAGAUUUUUAUUUGUAAGGGCUCUGAACGUUGUAGACAUUGCACUGAAUAUAGGAUUACAUUACAAGUAUUAUCAAAUCGAGCUUUAAAGCGUUCACUAUCAACUACUGCUAAUACUUCAAAAUAUACAAAUUGGCAGUUUUUAUCACCUGAUGAAGUAAAAGCUAAAGCAGCUACACUUCAGAAGAAAAAUAACAGCUUGCAGAUGAAGAUCAAGCGUUUAAAUGUCAAGAUUUCUGCUUUAAUUCAACAUCAGGGAGUUGUCUUAGAUGACUGCACUUCAUCAGAUCUUGCUGACAUCAUGAAAGAAGAGGGUCCAAAUAUCAUGGCAUCAUCAGAUCCUGACUCUUUCAGAAGCAUCUUUUGGCAGCAACAGCUGACAAAUCUGUCAAGAGGGAGUAAAGGCUUUCGCUGGCACCCAUUAAUGAUAAGGUGGUGCCUUUACCUCCAUCACCAGUCGUCAAAAGCUUAUAAUACAUUGAGAGAUUCGGGCAUUAUUACUCUUCCAUCUGAAAGAACUUUAAGCACACAGCCUAGCUUUCACAGCUUUCUCACUUGGCAGAUCAAACUCAUCAUCUUUCAAUACAGUCAAGGUUGCAUCCAAUAACAGCUUAUAACUUCCUUCAAAUAAAGUAAACUAAGACAGAGAAUUUAAAGUCGCUGCAGCCGCCAUCCUGUAGUGUAGACUGUGUAGUGCGCGCCGAUCUCUACUUAUCUUGUUGUAAUUGCGCUGUUCGCCGCCCCGCCUAUUCCCGGUUAACAGCCUAUGACACCACCCAAAGCGCUCACGUGAUCAGUUUCCAAUCCCGUUCGGUGUAUAGUAUCUAUGCCCUAAACCCUAAAAACAAUAGCUAAGUCCAAAAAAACAAUAGCUAACUAGGGGACUAACAUAACUAGGGGAGAAGGCUAAGUAGAAAAGGUAAAAAA